rnacentral:rRNA from 1 species
UAAUACGGGGGGGGUAAGCGUUGUUCGGAAUUACUGGGCGUAAAGGGCUCGUAGGCGGCCAACUAAGUCAUACGUGAAAUCCCUCAGCUUAACUGGGGAACUGCGUGUGAUACUGGAUGGCUUGGAUUUGGGAGAGGGAUGCGGAAUUCCAGGUGUAGCGGUGAAAUGCGUAGAUAUCUGGAGGAACACCGGUGGCGAAGGCGGCAUCCUGGACCAACAUUGACGCUGAGGAGCGAAAGCCAGGGGAGCAAACGGG